AAGACACUAGUAAAGAGUUUAUUACACUGCCUUGUCAAGGCAGAAGCGCGGGUUAGACCCCCGCGUGUCUUA
rnacentral:tRNA from 1 species